AAGACUCUACUUUCAGAGAUCAUUUCUAUAGUAUAUGAUAGAGAAGUAUCUCUGAUCAUGUAGAGCACCCAAAGCCAUGAGAAGGAGCUAGAGCGUCCUCUCCUGAGCAUGAAGUCGGCUCAAGGUGUCACUUCUGCGACUACCUUUGGCCAUUGAUGAUUGUUCUCACUUUCCUCUGGAAAGGGUAGAGGGAGAGGAUGCAGUCUGAGUGGU